GGCGUUUACUGGAACAAUGUGAACGUAUCCAUGGAGAGCGCUGUCGUGACGUAAGCAACAGGUUGAACGGAGCCCCUCGCGGACGCCCCGUGCCUGCACUUCUGUUGUUUCCCUGUCCGGAGCUCGUGCGGCACAUCCCGGUGUCAUCAUCAUCAGCAGCAGCACACGCGGAGCCGACUGCGUGCAUGUGUGUGUGAGGCUGCGCUGCUGCACGAGACCUCUGCCGCAUUCGGCUCGUGCCUCAGAACCCAUUUUAAAAACUAACGGCUCAAAACGAGACGGAGAAAACGGACAGCGGCGGGAAAACUGACGUCCUUCAGGUAAAGAGUUUGGUGGCCAAAAAUCCAGCUUUUCCCCCUCUCUCUGUCCUACAUGUCUUCCGUCCUUUUCUGUCUCUCUCUGUGAUGCUGGGCUGUGGCUGACUGUAUGCCCGUGACCAGACUGAAGCUGGGGAAGCUAAAGGUGGUGCGGCGGCAGCUGCUGCAAAGGUAUGAACACCAGCCAUUUGUCUCCUGCCUGGCUGGCCUCUACGGCUGCCAAUGGAGACGAUACCAAAGAGCCCGGGCACAGCCGGGAGAGUGCUGCUGCAGCAAGGUGGAAUGUGGCAGCUUUGGCCUCCUGAUCCUCACCUUUUUCCUGAGUUUUGUGUUCCUCUAUUUCUGGAGUGAAGCCCAGAACGACUACAAUGACUUUGACUGGUUUAACUUUGGGAAUCUUGGGUUCUGGUUCCCCUGGUCUCUGGUGCUGCUGAUUGUUGCUGCGGCUCUCUUCACAUACAUCGCUCUGCUAUUGGUGCUGGCGGUGUGUUUGCUUUCUGAGGGCCAGAGGUUGUACCUUCACUGGAGCCACAAGUCUGGUAUUGUGGUGACGCUGGCGUUCUCCGUCACAGCCACCGCCAUCCUCUCUGACCUCUGGAGCAAAGAAUGGAAGACUCUCCUCCUCUCCCUGCAGGUCACAGCACCUUACCUACAUGUGGCUGCAGUGUCAUUGAUGGCGAUUCUUUCCUGGCCAAUAGCUUUACAUUUCUUUCGCAUGAACAAGAAAGUCCGUCAGGUGGCCGUCCUGGGACUGUUUCUGUCCGUGCUGUUCUCGCUCUACCUGGUUCCUCUGGGAAUGUACUCGCCCUGCAUCAAAGAGGCGGGAACUCUGGGACCUGCCCCUACUCUCAUUGGGCACAGAGGAGCUCCAAUGCUCGCUCCGGAGAACACUGUGAUGUCUUUUGAGAAGGCAGUGGAAGCUGGAGGAGAAGGACUGGAGACUGAUGUCACCAUCAGUUCUGAUGGCGUUCCCUUCCUGAUGCACGACUCCACCCUGAAGAGGACCACUAAUAUCGCGGAGGUUUUCCCAAACAGGACACACCUCGAUGCCUCCAUGUUCACUUGGACCGAGCUGCAGCAGUUGAAUGCUGGUGAUUGGUUCUUAUCGAGGGAUCCGUUUGGCACCGUGUCAUCCCUCUCUGCAGCAGACCGCUCCCAGGCCCAGAACCAGUCUAUUCCCUCACUGGCCCAGUUCCUGGAGGUAGCAGCCCGAAGUGGUAGACUCGUACUGUUCGACCUGCGCAGGCCACCGCAUGGACACCCAUACAGUCAGUCAUACAUCAACACCACUCUACAGGUGGUACAGGCCCACAUCAACUCCUCGCAGGUCCUGUGGCUGCCAUCUGAAGACAGGGACCAGGUCCAGGCUGUGGACCCAGACCUGCAGCAGACCUCUGGAGAAAAGGCUUCUAUCCAGGAGCUGACAGACGGACACAUCACCAGACUGAACCUGCACUACAGCACCAUGUCUCAGCAACAGAUCCGUAAGUACCAGUCAGUAAACAUCAGCACUAACCUGUAUGUGAUCAGCCAGCCUUGGCUCUACACGCUGGCCUGGUGUGCCGGAGCGCAGUCCGUGACCACCAACUCCAUCCACGUCCUGUCCAACAUCAACAAGCCGCUGUUCCUGAUGACCCCAGAGGAAUACAGUCUGAUGUGGAUUCUUACUGAUGUGGUGUCAGCCUUCCUCGUCACUGCAAUUUUCAUAUUCCACUGGUGGAGAGAGCGAGGCCUGCCCUUCUGGUCCGGCAGCCGGCAGACUCACGAGAAUGGACCAUACAGCAAGUUCAGGACAGAGCUCAGCGAUGUUUGGUCUGUCUCCAGCGUCACUGUCCGGCCUGAUUUACGGAGCAUUCCUAAUUCACCCAGCACCCCUCACCUGCCCACCAUCACAGAGGAGUGAGAGGGAGGGGGAUUAAAAAAGGAAGGUGCAAGUCAGGAAAGGACAGAUAAGAGAUGGAAAAAGUCCUUGUGUAGAGUGUGAUGAAGCCCCGUCAAACUUUCUGAUCUUUUGUUAUUUAAUUAUUGUUGCUUAUAAUAGUCAGUCUAUUAUUUAGCAUCAGUUUAACACCCACAAACUCGAUGUGGAUUGACGGGACUUGACAGACAGUGUGAGCAGCCAACACAGCAUCUGUCAUCACGUUUUGAUGGAAAACUCCGAGCAGUGCACAGAAAUUUGUGACACCACCUUUUAACAAACAAAUGAAAGGUUAAAAUGUUUGGAAGUCAUGACAGAGAGAGCAGAAAGUAGACGGCACACUCUAUUCUCCAUCUGUCAUCCUCUCUGUCUGUGGGUGGGCUGCCUGUAGAAGACGAACAGCUGGAAAUAAAAAGCCUUCAUUCAUUUCCCAUCAGAGAUGAAGCAAAUGGACUGUGGACACGCGCCCUGGGGGUGUCCGUUUUCAUACUGUAAUCUCAUGAUGCCAUUAAGUUCCUCAAAGUGAGGACAGUUAAACACGAGACCAGAGGAUGAGGACAUUUUCAUUUCUGGUCAUUCGGCACUGCUGGUGGAACAACGUGAGACGCUGAGCUUCACCGGUGAAAGAACAAAAUAAUGAACGUCUGCAGCUGCAGUGAUCCAUCAGUCACCUUUGCUCUUUGUGCGUCUGCUCGCGGAUGAAGGACCAAAUGCUGAUCAGAGAAUCUCGGAGACGCGCUGUGAUAAACUGUAAACACAGAAGAAAUGAAACGGACUCUUACAUAUGAGCUGUGCUUUUUCAUUUUCAGCUGUACAGACAUCAGGUGCAUCAGACAAAAACCUUAAACCAUGUCUUAAAUUAUCAUUUGCGUGACUGAGUUGCUAGAUUCAGUGUGUGAACUCGACACUGUUGGACUGACAGAAUGAAUGUAAACCAAAGGCUUGGGAAGGGUACAGUUCAUCUAUGUGUGCUAAAGUGAAUGUAAUAUUAAGUUUCCAAAAGUAUGCAGAUUUUUUGGGCUGUAUGUCCAACAUGACAUUUUUCCCAGGGUCAGAUCUCAGUUCUACCACCGUGGGGAAAAAGGUCAUUUUAAUUAGAUUAUAUAUACAUAUAUCUCUAUAUAUUGCUGGUUAGCUUAAUCUAUAAGUGCUAUAGCAUAAUUAAUCAGUAGGUUUAUUUUUUUAUAGUAAUAGUCUAAACCUGCAAAAUAAUUAAUAACUAGAGCAUUAAGAUAAAUGUAGUGGUUUAAACGUCCCUCUGUAGGCUCCCCCUGCAUGCUGCAGGCAUCAGUGCUCGAGAGAGAGGGCGGCUGCUGUCGGCCUGCAGAGGUUUACAAGGAAUCUGCAAAAUUCAACGAUGGUGACAAACUAAACAUUCAGUUUGUCUGCAUCCAAUCAGCUUUUGUUUUAUCUUCUUCGUACUUCAGUCGCUCUGUCUCCGUGUCAAACACACCUGGUGGUGGAUGGUACCAGGUGUGAAGUUAGUUUUGUAGAUCAAGGACUCUCAUUGGCUUUUUACCUGUGAUGGUUUUGAUUGUGAUUGGGUCAACGUGCCACUCACAGCCCCCCCUCUUUGCUCCCUGUAGAGAGUGUGUGCUUGUGUGUGUUAAGGGUCUUUUACAGUUGGAUCCAUCAGUUUGCUGGGGUCCACUUUGGUCCAGGUGAUGUAAAUUUUCUCAUCUGAUAUAAAGCAGGAGUCUCCGUGUGGACGCCUGCAGGGGCGGUUGGCAGUCUUUGAGCAGACUUCAGAGACAUCAUGAAUGAAUACCGCUCUGUGAUGUCUGCAGCUGACUGUGUAUAUUCCCCACCACUGCCCUGCUGGCCUGCACUCAGAUUCAGACCCAAGUCUGCUUCAGUUUGUCAAAACAAUCACUCUCACAAGCUUUUGAAAACCUCUCUUGCAAUGCAGAGAGGUUUAUAACUUUAGUGGCUUGACUGAAGCAAUUCAAACGAACAGAGUCGCACCUCUUCCAGGUUAGGUGAUCACAUGGUUAAACAGACCGGAUGUUGGGGGUUAUUGUGGAGUCGGAGAGCAGGCGCUGCAGAUCCACCAAGAACUAACUUGUUUAUGGUGUUGUGUUGAGUAAAGUGGGGGCUGAAUCUAAAUCUAAGCUGCUAAAUCCUUUUAACCGUCCGCAUGGCUCUAUUUUAGUCACACUGCCUCCCUCAUUGCCUCUCCUUUCAGCAGCCUUGUGGACUUUCUUUAAUGUGAAAAUACUGACUGCAAGAAAAGUCUGUUAGUAAAACGUGCCAGCGGCACAAACUGCCCGACACGUGUUUUUUGUUUUUUUUAAAACUUGCUGCUGGUAAUUUUAUUUUGGUGUCUCAUCAGUGCCAAGUGUGGUGUCAGAGAAACCGACUACUUUAAUGAGGUGAUAAGUGCAGUAUCAGCUUUGUCUUCAAAUAUAUACACAGUAUCUCCCGGCACACACACUGAAUCUGUACUGUGUUGUCUUAACUUAAACUGAUUUCAGCGAUGAAAUGCAGAGCGUCUUGUCAGCUUUGCAGGUGUGAAAUCUGCAGGGUGAGGCGGCCUUCGCUUUUCUGCUUGCUUUUAUCCAUCCUUUAACUUCCCGUCUCCAGUGCUUUAUGCCAGUUUCUGCAGGCUCAGCUCUAAACAUUCAGGGUGAAGAGCAACAGCACAGAGACAGUUUUGGUAGCUUUGACCAAUCUUGUAUGUUACUGCCCUCCUGUCCCCUAAUCAGGGUCGUAACACUGACAAUGAGAGGUAAAUUAAUUCUUUUGUCCCUUAAUCAAGGCACAAAAUAAGACUUUGUACCCCUCAGCAGUAAAAGCCUGAUGGGACAUUGUUGUCCCCCUGCCGGGAAGGCCGGUGGCAUGGACACAGUUUGUGAAUGGAGGAGAACGAGGCAACAUAGGAGUUUCAAAUUGAUACCACGGGUGCAUCUUCUGGGAGGUUGAGGGUAACACUGGCGGCCGUCGUUAUGAUCCUAUAGUGUUAAAAUCUGCAGUGUUUUCAGUAAAUUCCCAGCUGCAGACAUCAGUAAAUGAUGAUUCAUUUAAAUACUCGCCUCCAAAAAUCUUCUAAAAAGUCAGAAUUAAACAGGACAACUGAAAUCUACCACGUAUAUAUGCAAUGAGGCAGUUGAAGUCUGGCACCAGGUGUCCUCAGCAAAUUCAAAUGGUAGUUUUCAAAAGAGGGUUUUGUGCUGUGCCAAAUGUCUUCAAUUUUAAUCAAUUCUGAGAUUUGAAUAAAUCCUGGAAAUUUCAAGUUUUGGAUUUUGUUGGAAAUUUGGAGCUGCUCUCGAGUAGACUCACAGCUUUACCUGUUCUGCACCACACUUGACUCCCAUGUUGGGCCCACAGAGGCCUGGGUUUAGUCCAGCAGAGGACAGGGAGACACAAGACCUGCAACUGAUUAAAGAGCUCAAUAAACAGUCACAACAGACUCCAGCCUGAUAUGAUGCACUGUAAUCUGAAUGUGUAGUUGGUGUUUGACAGUGGCUGAUGUGCUGUGUAGGCUCAGUGUUUGAACUUCAGCUAUGAAUCACUAGAAAAACACCGCCAGUGAAGUCUGGUGGCAGAGCAGCCCUCUGGCUUUUCUUUGGGCUUGAAUUCUAUUAAAAUGUGUUGUAUUUAACUUUGGGGGGGUUAUACAUCAUUUUGCGUAACCUUAACUAGUUUCUGUAAACAGCAGUUUUUAGUUGAGUAAUACUCGAGCAUCCAGAGGAACUGCUGGAAUUUCACAGGACAGGCAGCACACUAGAGGCUACAAACAGCAUCAAAGAUACAUCUGUGUAAUACGUUUAUCAACAUGCUAAUUGCAAAUAAAAUCUACUCAAAAUCAUAAAAACGUAGUUGAUAUUUUGUGACUUUUGACCAAAGAAAGCUACGAGAGUAGCUUUGUGCUUUUGAUGCCUGAAAAUACAGUUCAUCCUAUUUGUCUUAUGGUGCUUUGCUGGUUAUAGCAUGUAUGACAAGACCUGGAUUCUUUGUACAGAAACAAUUAUCCAUUAAUAGGUUAAAAAUAUCGCUUGUUAUCACCAAUAAUGGACACAUGUUUAAGUCGGCGUGUGUUUUAGAUACCCCCAACAUGCAGCUGGGCACACAGCGCCAUCAGCAGGCUGUCAUCACACAUCAGCCUGUUUUACAAGCAACUCUGUUACAGUUUAUGCUAGAGACAAAAUUCAAAUAGUUCCUGAAAGAUGAGAAUUAUUACAAAAUGAAUUCAGGCAUCCCGUUCGAUUCUUUAGGUGAUAAAGUUUAAGACUCACUGAGACCUCAGGCCUCUCCAGGUUGAGAGUUUAAAUCAUCCAAAACAGGCCACCUUUAGUCAAGACUGAUGAUCUGGAUUAUCUGGUGCUUGGAAAGAUUUCGUUUCUCUGUAAAGCUACAAAGAAAAGCUUUGAUGUUAUUUUCUAACCCAGUCGCAGUGCAGCGUCUCUGCUUUGCUGUCUUCAUUCCUGCAGGAGUGCAAACAUUUUUAAGCGGGUACAACUGAGGCUGUCUGUUAGUUGUUUGGUACGUCAAUCCUGGAGAGGUCCUGACUGCACACUGAGGUUCUGUUCAUUGGCUGCUCUUUAAAUGUGACUCAUCUUUUAAUGUUAUGGAUGUAAGAGACAUUUACAGGCAAAGUGGGACCUCUGAGGUGUUAAAUGAUAAAAAUCACUGAAAAGAGCGAGAGCAUCUAAAAUCUUAUGUAUUGCUUAGUGUUGUUUUUGAAUAAUGAGCUUCAUACUUGGUGCUGAGAAGUGAUCUGUGAUAUAAUGUAAUAAUAUAAAACUAGUAUCAUAGUUCAGAUGCUGAUCUUUCAAAAUGUUAAAUAUGUUUGUUUGUUUUUUUACAUUGUGCUGUUCUGACCUGCAAAAUUUUAUUUUAUAAAGGCAAUUAUUUUGCUUUACUGUAACUUUUCUGAUUAAAUGCUGCUGUCACCUGGUAUUAAAACAUUAGA